GAGGGGAGAGGCAGGAAUGAUUCCGAUCAAUCUUCGUUCUCACAGGUUUCAUUUCGUUUUCAAUUUUGUUGAGUAGAUAUCUUGAAAUAAUUAAUUAUUUAUGCGGUUUUUGAAAUUGAAUUAAUGCAUUCGCGUUACCCGAUUGAAAUUCACACUACGAAUGAAUUGAAGUAUUUUCUGUAUAUGUAUUCGAUUGAGGUGUAAAGUUGUAAACUUCUUGCUCAUCGGUGUUCGUCGUGUCGAAAUGAAUUUCGAGAUAUCUACUACUGAUUGUUGUUUUUCUAACGUAUUGAAAAUUGCUUAUUUUGCCAACUUUUCGAAUUAAUUGUAUUCGAGAAUUGAAUUGACUUUCCUUGAACUCAGCCGACGUAAUUAUAGAAAACACUAUGGUAAAAACAGAAUCUAACACUCGCCCUGCUGAAUCGUUCGAAUGCGAACAUUUAAGAAAGCUCUUUAUCGGAGGCUUAGACCACCGUACGACGGACGAUAAGCUGAAGAGUCAUUUCGAGCAAUGGGGCGAGAUAGUCGACGUAAUUGUAAUGAAAGACCCAAAGACGAAAAGAUCUCGAGGUUUUGGAUUUGUAACCUAUUCUCAACCAGACAUGGUAGACGCUGCACAAGCGGCUAGACCUCACAAACUAGAUGGAAAAGUAGUCGAACCUAAACGAGCAGUUCCUAGAAACCAAAUAAACACUCCCGAAUCCAGUGCAACGGUGAAGAGAAUUUUCAUCGCCGGAAUAAAAGAUGACGUUACCGAAGAAGAUGUUAGCUCGUAUUUUGGUAAAUAUGGCAAUAUUAUCAAAGUAUCGUUCGUCAACGAUAAAGAAACCGGUAAAAGAAAGAAUUUCGGGUUCGUAGAGUUCGACGAUUAUGAUUCUGUCGACAGGAUAUGUCUUGACGGAAGUCAUUCUCUGAAAGGAAACCCGAUCGAUGUAAAAAAAGCCGUAAGUAAGGCAGACAUGAGCAAAAUUCAAGCUAAAAAUGCCAGCAUUGAAAAAGCUCAACAAAACAGUUCGAACGGUACUAAUUGGAACGCCCAAAAUACUUCCAAUAUGGCUAAUAGGGGAACUGCAGGUGCACCUGUAAAUAUGUCAGGUGGUAUGAUGCCAAAUGGCUAUGGACCUAGUCCUAACUGGAUGGAGAACGGUUGGCAAAAUGGAGGCGCUAUGGGAAUGAUGCCGAACAUGGCUGGAAAUGGUAUGAAUACCAUGAAUCCGGCCAUGUAUUCUGCUGGAAUGGCUUCGAGUAAUAUGAAUCCUAUGAAUAUGGGUAUGCAAGGAUAUGGUAACAUGGGUCCUUCGCCUAAUAUGAUGGGUAUGGGUAUGACUGACCCAAACAUGUAUAAUUCCGCUAUGGCGAAUAUGACUCAGGCAAUGGCAUCCGCACCCAGGAUGCCUAAUACCUGUCCGCAAAUGCCCAAUAAUGGUACAGUUAGUUGGAACUACGGAACAGGCACCACUGCUACGAACUGGCCUGCUUCAAAUGAAGCUUUCGGUGCUACAUAUCAACAAGCCUAUAGUGGCGGACCAAUGCGAAGUGGCGUGGCUACUGCAACAGCUGUUCGUAAUACGCCUUACAAUACCGGUGCUACGAAUCCGGGUGCGAUUUCAAGUUACCCACCGAACUAUAACAAUGGACAGACGACAACGACUUCUGCGACUUCGACUACAACUGCUACUAGACAAUUUUAGAACGCGCUGUGAAUUGUGAUCCGUCGACUACAUUCGAAUGUUGCAGGCAAUUAGAGCAAAAUAUUUAUAGCAUUGUGAAGCGCUUAUCUGAUAAACAUUAUCUCAGGAUGGUAUUCCCGCUGCUUCAAUUGCUUACAUAGCUAUACUAGGUGAAGAUGCACUGCUACUUUACGCUAUUUUCAAAUUGCCUGAGGGAUGAGCUUUCUUAUUAAAACAUCGUUAACUUACAUGCAAUUUGAAAAAUGAUCAUAAAGAUAAAGCUGUCCUGUGUGAGUUGUUAUUCAGAGAAUUGAAGUUGAGAAGUUGAACAUCACGUUCAAAAUUUUGGAUCUUGAAUAAAUGGUAGACUGAACACAAUCGUCUAUUUCAACUUUCAAGAGUUAAUUGGAUGAAUUAUUACGAAGGACGAGGAGUGGUUUUUACAAUAAUUGAAUCUACAGCAAACAUCAAUCUAACAGAUCAUUGGACCCAGGAUUAAAUUCUCUGGCAAAUAAUCUUGACUACCUGUCAAAAACUUUUAAUUAAAUUGUUGUAUUUUGUGAAAGUGAUUUUAUGGAAUUCGUAAAAUUAGGCAGAUAAAUAAAUAACUGUCAAACUUUCAA